rnacentral:rRNA from 1 species
ACACGCAUGACACACUGCAUAUCAAUAAGCGGAGGAAAAGAAACUAACUAGGAUUCCCUCAGUAACGGCGAGUGAAGCGGGAAGAGCUCAAAUUUGAAAUCUUCAAGGUUCUACCUUGACGAAUUGUAGUUUAAAGAAGUGUUUUCUGUUGGAGUUUUGGUAAAAGUUCUUUGGAAUAGGACAUCAUAGAGGGUGAGAAUCCCGUAUUUGACCAUUAUUUCCAACUUUGUGAUACACUUUCAAAGAGUCGGAUUGUUUGGGAAUGCAGUCCAAAAUGGGUGGUAAAUUUCAUCUAAAGCUAAAUAUUGGCGAGAGACCGAUAGCGAACAAGUACCGUGAGGGAAAGAUGAAAAGAACUUUGAAAAGAGAGUUAAACAGUACGUGAAAUUGUCAAAAGGGAAGCGUUUGACACCAGUGUUGUUUUUCCGAAAAUCAAUUAUGAAUGGCUUGAUUUUAAGUUUCAUGACCUUAAAAGCUUGUUUCUUAUUUUUCAUGUCUUUCGUAAUGCACUUUUCGGUUAACAAGUCAACAUCAAUUUCUUUUGUUGUAAAAGGUUAAGAGGAAGGUGGCUUUACUUUCGGGUAAAGUGUUUAUAGCCUUUGUACUUCUGCAAUCGGAGAGAUUGAGGUCUGCAGCGUAGAUCCUUCGGGGUUAGAUACAUUAGAUGCUAAGUUAUAGCUUUUUAUAGACAGCUUGUUGACUAUGAUUAAGUCAUGUAGCUUACUCGCUUAUGCCUAUUUUACCUACGCUUAGGAUGUUGAUCUGUAGUGCGUGCGC